ACAGAGACAUGGACAGAACAUGCAGCAGGAGAAGAGAGAAGGAAGAAGACAUGUUAGCACAUGUUCCAGAGAACACCAAUGCAUCUGAUUCCAUGGGCAUUUUGCAUGAAGGCACUGCUGAACUUUCUCUGUCAUUUCAAUUCUUAGAAUCUCAGUGACAAGGACGGAGUUCUGCCGUGGCGCCUGCUGCUGGCUCCGCCCUGUCCACCUGAAGCACGCGGUUCUCCAAGGCCACUGUUGGUUCAGUUGUGGCCAAACCAGCCGUGUUCUACCCAUUACAGGGUUUACAGCAGAGAAAAGGAUGUUUGACACUUGCUAGUAUUGUUCCACAGUUGAAGCCCCGCCUGUACCCAGAUGGGGGGGUUGACCCAGACAGUUUCUGUGGGUUUUUGAGUCUUGCAGGUCUGUGGAUGGAGGUGUGUCUGCAGUUCCCCUGAGGCUCGUUGGACCACCUCAAAGGACGCCAUGAAAAUGGACCGUCCCAUUGUUGUGUGUGUGGUUUGGACGACACGUCUCACCUGCUCCCCCCUUGUUGUCCUGCAGCAUGAACGUAGACCAUUUGAGGAACAUUUUCCCUCCACGGGUUGACUGAGCGUCUUCCGCCUGACGGUCACCCGUGUCUCCUUACACAUGUGACGGUUUUUCACCUGCAGACAGCCGUGUCCACCGUGAGGACGGCUGGGACUACGGCCUAACUCGUGUCUGUCCCUGACUUCAGCCGUGUUCCAAAGACACGGACGCCGUCGUUCAGCAUCAGACGGAUCACCUGGAGGUCACAUGUACGGGUCUGAAGUGUUUGAACAUGCAUGUGUUGACGUACGUGAGCACGUCUGCUCACAUACAGUGACGACCCGCUGGGACAGUGACAGGUUGAAUUCCACCGCCCUGGCACCCAGUCCCAUCCCAAAACGUGACGUACUUCUACAGAAACAGGCUUGAAAUUAUGGGAUGGCUACAUUUCAGUUUCUAGGAGGCUUCUCGGGAUCACGGGACUUUGAGUUUUUGCCUGGCGUGAACAAAAAAUAUGGCGGAUAUUCGUUCGUUUUCAGUUAUCAAAAUAAAGAUUAGUCCUCAAAAGAUCUUAUUUUGGGGGAUUUUCCACCGAAAAACUGGAGAACAUCGGCGUUUUUAUUUUGUUGGUUCUGGAUCCAAGGAUUUGACUGACAGCCCACAUGUGACCAGCAGAGGAGAGAACC